CAGUAGCCGCGGGAAUACGGAGGGUGCAAGCGUUAAUCGGAAUUACUGGGCGUAAAGCGCACGCAGGCGGUCUGUCAAGUCAGAUGUGAAAUCCCCGGGCUUAACCUGGGAACUGCAUUUGAAACUGGCAGGCUAGAGUCUUGUAGAGGGGGGUAGAAUUCCAGGUGUAGCGGUGAAAUGCGUAGAGAUCUGGAGGAAUACCGGUGGCGAAGGCGGCCCACUGGACAAAGACUGACGCUCAGGUGCGAAAGCGUAAGGAGCAAACAGGAUUAGAUACCCCUGUAGUCCCUGUCUCUUAUAC
rnacentral:rRNA from 1 species